AAAACAUUGUAUACAUCACGUUUACAAAUUAAGUGGAAAUAGAAAUUUGAGAAGUUUUCCUAACCAAAAAAACUAUCAGAAAAUCAAGUUAGCAUGUUCGUUCCUUCUUGUAGCAGGUUUUCAAAAUGCAUUUGAAUCGACAAAUUGAUUUCGCUGGUAAUCGGUCCACAAUGACGCGAUCCUCAUUGAAAAUCAGUCCGAAGCCAUUAGAAGUCACAUAAUCGGUUUGUCGUUGAUGAAGUCGUCGUGGCCCGUCAGUGAUGACAAAUUGACAAUGUAAUUGCAAUUGUUGUUAUGUAUUUGAUACAAUGGAAAAACUUAAGCUCUUUCGCAGCAAUAAUUUUAUAAUCAAGUAAUACUUCAGAGAUUAAAGAUUUGAAAGCUGGGGCGGAGCUGCUUGAUAUUAUUCUUUCAAAGUCCCAGAGAAUGGGCAUGGAGCCUCAAAGAGCUGCAGUGGGGAAGUAGAACCACUGUCAGGUUCAAUAUACCCAGCAGGCUCACCUCGAGCAGCAGACACAGUGAGGAGAAUAAUCGGCACAAUGAAGAAACCAGCAGGCUUACCUGCUUAGAUUUUUCGAUUUCAAAAUUUUAAAUCUUUCGACGAAAUCGAGUUCAGAUUUGACGAUGCAUUCAAGCGAGAUCCAAAUGCUGCUGAGGUAGAAACAAUAUUUGAUACUCCCUUGGAAAUGUUCAUCAAGGUUUGCUCUUUGGUUUAAGAUCUUCCUUCAAGAUACAUGUUUUUGCGUGCUUUCUUUCUUUUGACAUAUUCUGUUGGAAUCUUAUCUCAAGAUGAAAAUCACAGAGCAGAGGAAAGAGAAUGGAUGUGAUUCAAGUACUUGAUUCAUUAGUUUGAUUAUGAAACAGUUAACAAAGAGUAUGGGAUAUGGGGUCUAACUGCUGGGAUCUUGAUUCAAGUUGCAUCAGUUGUUUAUCAAAGACCACCACCAAUUGUGGAGCAGAAUCCCAAAUUUAAGGUUCCUGCAAACCAGUUUGAUGAUUAGAUUAUUCCACAACAUGCUAUUAUUCCACAAUCUAAUAAAGUUGGACCAAGAUUAAAACGAACCUGGGUAAUUUCCCCACUCAUUAAGUCAAUGGAGGUGUUAUUUUUAUGUUGAGAUGUUCCUUGGUCCUGACAUUUUAGUCUUCUUCCAGACAACGUUCCCGGUUAUACUAUGGGCUCUGCAAGGAUUUUUGGCGUACAUCAAGAAUGUUUACAACAAUCCUCCUCAAGAAUGAAAAUGGUUCUGAACUUGACUAAUGUCAUCAAUCUUAAAUGAAGAACAACUAUUACUACCACUUCUGAUUUUGUUGCUGAUUGUCAACUAUUGCUUCCCUAUUUUGCUUCAUUUUGUCUAUGGUGGUUCUCUUAAGGAUAUGUAUCAUGGCUUUAACAAUCGGUCUAAUAUCUCUAUAAUAUAGCUUGGAUAUGGUGGAUAGUGACUAUGGCUUGAUGGAAUGGGUUGAAGCCUUUGCAAAGAGCGGUCCUGGGAAACAUUUAUGAUGUUCACUUGGCAAAACUGGAAUGAACGUAACACAUGGGUGUUUGAGAAGAAGAGGACUGAUUUGCACAUUCUCUGCACGAGAACAAUGGCCUACCUGGGCGAAUUCGAUGCUGCAAUAAAACGUGAUGCUGACCCGCAAUAGCCUCCCCCCCAAGUAACUCAUACCCGGUUACCGCCUCAAACAGUGAUUGAUAAACUCAAUACGGACGCAGCUGUGAGGAAUGACGGUAGAGUUGGUUUGGGCAUGAUCCUAAGGAAUAGUGUGGGGGAUAUGUCUCAUGGCAGCAGGCAGGAACCUUGAGAGUGAAAUGGAUGCACAACAGGCUGAAGCUGGCAUACGAAGCAGCCUCACUUUGGUCAACCUCUUCCAAGCAAAAUGAAGUGAAAGCUCCACUACUCAAGUAAUAGUGAAUGAUAUUAACAAUUUUGUUACUUGCUUUGAUUUAUGUAGCUUUAAUUUCGCAAACAGGAAUUGUAGCAAGGAAAAAUUACCUAAUGUUGUAUAUCAUGCAUUCUAAAAAUUCACUUGCUUUGAUACUAUGUUACGAUAAUAAAUGUUAAUUUCUUAAUGUUGU